rnacentral:rRNA from 1 species
UACGGAAGGCAGCAGUGGGGAAUUUUGGACAAUGGGGGCAACCCUGAUCCAGCAAUGCCGCGUGAGUGAAGAAGGCCUUCGGGUUGUAAAGCUCUUUUGUCAGGGAAGAAACGGUAGUAGCGAAUAACUAUUACUAAUGACGGUACCUGAAGAAUAAGCACCGGCUAACUACGUGCCAGCAGCCGCGGUAAUACGUAGGGUGCAAGCGUUAAUCGGAAUUACUGGGCGUAAAGCGUGCGCAGGCGGUUGUGUAAGUCAGAUGUGAAAUCCCCGGGCUCAACCUGGGAAUUGCAUUUUGAGACUGCACGGCUAGAGUGUGUCAGAGGGGGUAGAAUUCCACGUGUAGCAGUGAAAUGCGUAGAUAUGUGGAGGAAUACCGAUGGCGAAGGCAGGCCCCUGGGGAUACACUGACGCUCAUGCACGAAAGCGUGGGGAGCAAACAGGAUUAGGAAUAACC